CACGUCUUUGCUCUUGUAAAUAAUUCUGCAGUGAACAUGGGGUGUAGAUCUCUCUCUAAGGAGGGAUUUCAUUUACUUCAGGCCUCAUACCCAGCAUGGAGUCUAAUGCAGGGCCUAACUAAUGUCCCUGAGAUCAAGACCUGAGCUGAGAUCAAGAGUCAGAUGCUUAAAUGACUGAGCAACCGAAUGUCCCAACUUUGAAGACUGAUAUGUUUUUAAAAUAAAUUAACCCCUUUAUUCAUGUUCCCUGGUCAUGUUCCUUGUUUUGAAAUUCACUUUAAUUGAUAUGAGGCAUUUCCUUUGAUUGUCUUUUUUUUUUGAUGUGUUUUAGUAUUUUUUUAAUUGCUGUUUGAAUGGCAUUUAUAUUUUUAUCCUCUUAUUUUUAACCUAGUUUGUCUUUAUAUUUAUAUAUUUGAUUCCCUUUAUCCACUCUGGCAAUCUCUGAAUUUUAAAUGGAGCGUUUAGGCCAUUUUCAUUUAAUGUAAUUAUUAUUUGUUUGGGUCUACUUGUUAUUGUUGUUGUUGAUAUUUAGAGAGAGAGAGAGAGAAAGCACAUGUACACACCCAUAAGCAUUUGGGGGAGGGGCAGAAAGAGAAUCUUUUUUUUUUUUUUUAAAGAUUUUAUUUGUUUAUUUGACAGAGAUCCCAAGUAGGCAGAGAGGCAGGCAGAGAGAAAGGAAGGGAAGAAGG
rnacentral:lncRNA from 1 species